rnacentral:rRNA from 1 species
AUACAGAGGGUGCGAGCGUUAAUCGGAAUUACUGGGCGUAAAGGGUGCGUAGGCGGCUUGAUAAGUCGGAUGUGAAAGCCCCGGGCUUAACCUGGGAAUUGCAUUCGAUACUGUCAGGCUAGAGUAUGUCAGAGGUUGGCGGAAUUCCUGGUGUAGCGGUGAAAUGCGUAGAUAUCAGGAGGAACACCAGUGGCGAAGGCGGCUAACUGGGGCAAUACUGACGCUGAGGCACGAAAGCGUGGGGAGCAAACAGGAUUAGAUACCCUAGUAGUCC